CUUAGGGAACAGGAAAGAAAGAAGAAAAAAACGCAUCGAAACCCCGAGAUUUUUCAUCACGGUCAUUGUGAAUCUCCCAUGAGUCUGUUUAAAAUCCCGUUAGUCUUGACCUCGGUUGGGGUGACAGUUUUGCAUUAAUAAUGACUUGGAGGAGCCAAGACUGAAUAUGAUUGACACUCCGACCGGGGCCAAAAGUUUCUAUUUCCAAUCUUCUUGUCUCAUUUUGCGCGAGCAGGAGCCAACAAGACCAGGCACGCACGUCCUAUUCCUAGCGGUGGUGGUGGUGGUGGUGGUGGUGGUGGUGGUGUGAUGUCGGAAAUUCUUCGAAACAUUCCAACUGCUCGUUUACGUUUGCAAUAAAAGAGCUAUUGUUAGGGAGCAAGUACGUAGAAGAAAUAGAUGUACCUACCUACAGUAAACUGAUCUCCACAGUGUUGUGUUUGGGGAUGGACAGACAGAGUACACACAAACAACAGUGAACUGGCGAGCCUACCGAGUACAGAGGGCUUUUGUAACCCGGGGAAACGAAUGGAAAUGACAGAAGACAUCCAUUUGGAACCGCACCAAACUGCCUUCUUGCACUCACUCAGUGGAUGGAACUACGUAGAAAGACGACGACGACGAAGAAGAUGAAACUCGCCAUUCUCAAUUCUCAAUCCAUCCUGUAUUUGGGUGUGUGGAUGUGUUUGGCUCGAGAGAUGGGAAGAAUGACUCGACGAGAUCGGUGUCUCUACAUACACACCGAUACUAUCCCUACCGUAGAGACAAACCGACCAACCAACCAACCAACCAACCGACCGACCGACCCCUUUUCAUUGUGCCACUCGAGGAGCAUUGCGAGAAAAAUGGAGUUCACCACGGAGCAAUCCAAGAGAGCAGAAUUAAAAGAAUUAAAUGAACAGUCGUUUCGUCGUCUAUGAGUUCGGCCCGUUAGCUCGGGUGGCUCGAUCUCGAUUUCAACCUAAUAAUAUACUCGGAAUGGGACUGAGGAGAGGAGAAAAGAAAGAGCAGCCAGGAAAUAGUAGUCAUUCUUGGCACUCGGUAUUACUACCGUUUUUGCAUUGCACUAUGAAAAGCACAACUCAGCUGGAACAAAGUGUUAUACAGAAUACAUCUACGUACACGCACAGAGUAAAAGGCUUCAGAGAAUAG